CCUUUGACGUUAGCGGCGGACGGGUGAGUAACACGUGGGUAACCUACCUAUAAGACUGGGAUAACUUCGGGAAACCGGAGCUAAUACCGGAUAAUAUUUCGAACCGCAUGUUCGAUAGUGAAAGAUGGUUUUGCUAUCACUUAUAGAUGGACCCGCGCCGUAUUAGCUAGUUGGUAAGGUAACGGCUUACCAAGGCGACGAUACGUAGCCGACCUGAGAGGGUGAUCGGCCACACUGGAACUGAGACACGGUCCAGACUCCUACGGGAGGCAGCAGCC
rnacentral:rRNA from 1 species